AAAAAAGUUUUUAAAAGCGUAUGCAUGUUUAAAAAUGUUAAAUAGUUAAACAACACUUGCGGUGAAAAUAUGAAGUGUUUAUUCUGAGUUGAAAAGACCGUACUUAUAUCUAGUAUUCUUAAUGUAAUUUAAAUAAUGUCUUCCUUUACUAACUGCAUGUGACUUUGUUCUACUUAUAUUGUUUAAUACGUACUGAUGAAUUCAGCAGCAAAUUGGCUAAUGCUGCUAAUGCUUUUUACAUUUUUUUUUCACAAUGAACAGUCUUCUUUGUGUAGUUUUCAUUAUAUUGCACUCUUAUUUUUCAUUAUGUACAUGCCUGCAAUUCGCAGCUCGCUGUUUUUGUUGUUGUAUGGUAUUGUUGUUUUGCCUUCAUUUGUUUUGUCUGGUCCUUUGUAGUUUGAAUGUUGUCACAUGAUCCAAAUAGGACAAGGUUGUAAUUUUUUCUUGAUAUUGUUACUCUGCUUAGCUAUAUAUUUUUUCAUUAUUUUGUUUUUUUUUUUACUAGCUGCAAGAUCACCACCCCAUUGGGAAGAAACUAAAUCACGACCCCCAAAUGGUAGUCUUCCCAUGCAGAUACAGGGAUGUCACACAGAUCCAAAUGGAAACAGGACCAAUGGUGACAAUAUAAGACCAUGCCGAGCUUCAUGGAUGGUUCAAACUCAUCCUGCCCAGGAACGGCUGAUAUGAAAUGCAUAUUUAUAACUUGUCUAACAAGUAGCUCAUUCAAAGAUUAUGUAUUUUUCAGGGAAGGACCAUAUUUGUGGCUGACCCCUAUGUUGUUGCAACAUGGUGAAAGCCUACAGGAUGUGACCCACACAUGAAUUUGCCUAAAACGUUGACAGUCAAUCAACAGGGGGACAUGGAAAGAGAGGAUUGGAAGUGAAAUAGAGGGUUUUUCGGGACAGCCAUAGGGGAAGGACUGUGGCAUCUUCAUGUUGAUGACUGAUAUGCCAACUCUGAGGAAGUGGUGGUGUAUAUUGCUAGCGGACAAUUUCAAACUUGGGUGCAUGGUGAGCCACAGGAAAGAGUUUGCCCAUUGGACAGACAAGGCAAAAGCAUUACUGCAGGGUGAAGUGCCACCAGUCUAUCAGCUACAGAAGUGAAAUUUGAAUAUAAUUGCUGAGGAAGAGGUGCAACCACAGCUCCUUCAAGUUAGUGGUGGCCCACUCCAAAAAGAUACGGCGGGAAAAAAUGUUUUGGUAAAAGGAUUGUGCCAGACAGCACAAAAGCCUCGGACAGGGCUGGGGGGGGGAGGGGGGUCAAUGCAGUAGGAGUUCCCAAGCAUCCUGCAGAUGGAAGAGGAUGAGCACGAACUACAAUGUCUUGGAGCCAUUCAAGUUCUGUUUCAACCAUCUGGAAGAUGGAUUUACCUUUUUUGAGGAGAUUGUUGAUCAAAGAAAAUAUCUGGUAUUCUCUCAAUAAUAAUAAAAAAAUAAUAAAACUAAAAAAUAAA